GACGAACGCUGGCGGCGUGCUUAACACAUGCAAGUCGAACGGAAAGGCCCUGCUUUUGUGGGGUGCUCGAGUGGCGAACGGGUGAGUAACACGUGAGUAACCUGCCCUUGACUUUGGGAUAACUUCAGGGAACUGGGGCUAAUACCGGAUAGAAGAUCUUGCAGCACGGUGGGGGUUGGAAAGAUUCGGCGGUUGUGGAUGGAUUCGCGGCUUAUCAGCUUGUUGGGGAGGUAGUGGAUUUCCAGGGUUUUGACGGGUAGCCGGCCUGGGAGGGUGACCGGCCACAAUGGGACUGAGAGACGGCCCAGACUCCUACGGGAGGCAGCAGUGGGGAACAUUGCACAAUGGGCGGAAGCCAGAUGCAGCAACGCCGCGUGCGGGAUAACGGCCUUCGGGUUGUAAACCGCUUUCGCCUGUGACGAAGCGUUCGUGACGGUAAUGGGUAAAGAAGCACCGGCUAACUACGUG
rnacentral:rRNA from 1 species